AUCGCUGCUAGAAUAAACUCUGGAAAUGGACACAUUUCUAGUACGGCAGGAGCUCUCGGUGGGGCUCUGCGGGAGCCGGCUGCUGGGGGCAAGGCCGCGGGGUGCAGCCAAGACGGUGACUUCCAGCUGGCGCGAGAGGAGAGGGCCGGACACCUCCGGGGAAAGCAGGAGAGCAGAGACCAAACCAUCAGGUAUCUCUUCAUCCUUUCUGAUGGCACCCCGUUGCCUGGAUAGAGGACUUGGACUGGAUACAGAGGAGGAGAAACUCCCUGCUUUGCCCUCUUCCUUACCUGCAAGGGAGGGAGAGCCCCUGAGCACAGCCCGGGCUCCGGCCGAGCCUGCCAGCGGGCACUGGAGCACAAAAGCAGAGGGAACCAGAAGAGGACAAAAGAAGUGAUCCUGGAGCCAAAAGGGUCUGUUAAACCCAGGGCAGCUGAGGGUAACUACGCUCCUCCUGACUCCCCACCCGGUUUUGUGGAUCAGUCAGGCAAGACAAAGGUCUGCCUCCUAAAGGGACACCUCUGUCCCCUGACCCCCACCACCCCACCUCACCAAGCUUUCUCUUCACUCUUGCAUUAAUCCUGGCUCUUACGGGGUUUUGUAAGUGGUGGCUCCUUAUGAUCCACUAUUGUUCUGCUAAUCUGCUGUCUGGAAACUGUCAAGAGCAAGUAGUCAGUCAUGGCCUUAAUGGCAGUCACGUGGUUCCUGUCCUUCAGCACAAAUGAAUUGCCACCAUAAAUACCAGCUAAGAGAGGAACAGGAUUCAAGGGUAGCCAUACAUCAAGGAGAAGGAUAAUGCAGUUAGUCCUGAGCUGCUCAGGGUGAUAGCAGGAAAGGGUCUUUGGCUGGCACAUCUUUGCUGAUGGUUAUGGGUAUCCCUUCAGGCAGAGAUCUUCUCCAGUUGGUGCAACUGGGAGGAGUUCUCUCAUUCACCCUGCUGUUUUCCUGCAUUCAUGCAGCUCAAAAGGCCCGUUUUUUUCAUCUAACCCUGCUCUGUUCAGUGUUGCUAAUGUCACAGCACCUGUUGAGUCUUGCCUCAGAAGUGGCUGGGUUCUUCUGUGGGUGGCAAAGGCAUUUCGACACUAUGAGUAGGAAGCAGCUCCACACAUGGGGAACUUCUGCGUAGCCCAUCCCUGUUGAGUUUAAUUUGGUUCCUGCAGUAUAUUAAUGAGAUAACAAACACUUUUUCACUGAGUAAGUGUAAGGAUGUCUACAGAUGCUGAAGAGCUAAGGAUGUCCAGUGUGAAUGCAUGGAUACCUCUAGCACAUGCCACAAAGAGCUCCUGUACCUCCAGUGUUAGCAUCUAAUCAGAUCACGCUGGGAGCACAUAUAAACAUGGAUUUUUACUGAGUACAUUUUUGCCAGCUGCAUCCCAAAAGCACAGGGGAAGAUUUUUCAGAAUGCGAAAGAUGACCUUAGAUGCCACUUCCACUGGCUCUAAGGCCCUUUGGAGAUUUUUGAGGAUUUCUCCUCCCAGCUGGAAUAGGAACAAGAAGUUAAGUUGUUUUUUACAGAGUUGGAGGAACAGAAGCUCGUUUCCUCCUUCUGGGGAGAAACCAAAUAAGGAAGAAGUCUCUAAGCUAUCCUUGCUUUCUGCCCAAAGCAUGUCAAGUUGGCCCACAAGCAAACCAACAGGCCCAGACAUGGUUGCUUUUGUUACCUCUCCAGAUCUGUGAAAUGUUGAUGUGCUGCCUCUAGCUUUUAUGCACUCUUUUUUUUGCUGCUUGCAGGUUGGAUGCCGCUUUCUCUGUUCUGAAAACUGUAACCAGGUUCUCGCUGGGCUUCUGUUUGCGGGGUGGCAUUGUCCACAAAAUUUGUGAAUUGCAGGCCUUCAUAGGAUGUACUCUGGGAGAAAUGUGCAACAGCAAGAGGUGAGCACAGGAAGUUCCCAUUUUCCUUGAAAAUGACAUUAAAAACAGCUUGUGAGCAUCACUGCUGGAGAUGGACCCUGGACCACUUGUGGUCAAGUGGCCAAAUCCAGCAAUUUCUAUGAACACGUGAAUGACCUGAAAGAUGAAAGAAAGGGAUUGAGGGGAAGGAGCAAAUUCAGAUCAGUGUAAGCAAAUUCACUCUACUGCUUUGAGUCUAAGUUAGACCCUCUAUAAAAUUGACUGGGACAAUUGUGUCUAGGUAGUGUCAUCUUUUCCACAGAGCCAUGGCCAACAACUGCAGAAGUGUCAAAGAACUGGGAUGGACAUUUCUGACCGCAGCCCUGGCUGCCACCCGGCCUUCAUUGCUGACCAAACUUGGGUUCUGCUGCCUGCCCUAAGAUCACAGGUAGCUAAACGGCCACAAAUGUGUUUGCAAGAGCAGAAUCACAGAGAGCCUGUUGUCACCAUUUGCCAGUGGGGUGUCAUGGUAUGACAACAGUACAAAGUUGCCUGGCUCUCUACAGGGAUGUGACAAUGGGUCGGAGCAAAAGCCAAGGAACAUGACACUGUGUUGUGACACGGUUACUUGAUUACACACAAGAAAUAGCAGUUAUGUUUUAUUAGCCAAAGAUAGCUUUUAAGAAUGAAAAAUAAUUAAUAAUGAUUAGAUGCCCAUGCAUUGCCCUUGGUUAAUGACAAUUCUAAGCAAAAGCUUGCCACAAAAAAAAAAAAAUCCCACUGCUACAAUGACUAAGUUAGUGCCUAUUUCUCUCAUAAGUGGAGUCAAAUCACACUUUGUGUUGGCUCAGCCAGGUUUAUGCUGUGUUACAUUAGCAGACACAAAGCUCAUCCAUUAUUAAAAAGGAGUUUGGUGUCUCUGUGCUCUCUCUGUGAGGAGAAACCCACUUAAUAAGUGUUGGUGGUGUUCUUGAAGAAACUGCAUUGACUAGAACAACCGUAGGAGAAAAGUCAAUUGAGUGAGAGAAGCCAAGCUGCAUUUUGCUCCAGUCAAGACUCCUCUACUGGCUGCUUUGGCUUUUGAACAAUGGUUACAGAACUGGAGGCAGCAGUGAACUUCUACCUUUGCUUUGCAGGGCCAGAGAAUGCAGUAACGUCAAGGACAUGUUCAUUUAAUUAAGACCUGCAGCCUACGUGAUGGAGCCCUCCUGGGAGGGAUGAAAGGCAUGGCUGUUCCAUGGGAAGCGUCUUCGAGAUUAAGGAAUGCCGAAGGCAAAGAAGCAUCAAAUAUGAUUAAAAAGUGAUUAAUGCUGACUUUGAAAAUCAGGACUUGAGGAAACAAAUCUUAUGAGAUAAAUAGAGGGAUUUCACUGCACACUCAGUGUUGUGAAAUCACUUGAGGUGGAAGGAAAGCAACACGGGCCAGACCUCACAGAUGUUGUUUAUAAAUUUUAUGAUCUUUUCUUCUUGCAUUUUCCUGUCUGUUGCAGCGAAUGGAGCCCUGCUGAAUAAUGCUUAGCUGGGGCCUGAAACCCUCCAGUUCCAGCAAGUCAGCUUUGCCCAGCCUGUAAGAGCUGAGGACUCAGGGCACUGAUGGGGCGAAUUCUCCAUGGAGCGGUAGGUUUGCACUCGUGCAGGACCGGGCACAUUUGGACCCUCCAGGUCUGCUCUUUUGUUUCUCAUCGUCUCUGGGCUUUGCUUGCUGCUCCAGGGAGUCUGUGCAUGGAUUCAGCCGGGCAGACCGGAGCCAAGGCGGCGAUGCCUCGUGCUCCCUUUGUAUCAUCCCCACAGAGGCUGCUGUAAGCCAGGGGGAUGGCCCCAGCGGUGGCCAGGAUCUCCCUGAGCCUCGACUCCCACUGUAUUUACUCAUCCAUUUUGGCUAUGUCAUACCUCUUCCAGCAGGACCACUUUGGAGCCAGACUGUCAGGGCCCUGAGGGCACUGAUUGUCCUUAAUGGCCCUGACCAGCUUCACCUGGGGCCUCCACUCACACCCCCAACCCACGGGCCCAGGAGUCCAUUUUAGCUCAGCCUGGGCUCUUUGCUUGGGCCUGGGCUAUGAUGAAGGAGUGUCUGUCUAUUCUCCAGCUGCAGCUAUGCCUGUUCAUGGACCCUGUUGAUCCUGACUUGACCUGCCUCGUCACCAUGAACUUGCCUGAUGGUCUGGACUCUUGGUUGAACCUGGCUACCAUCCCUGCACUGCUUGCCUUGCUCAGGUGCUGUGGGAGGGCGUCCUGGCUGGUGAGGUCCCUGCCCUGCUGGCCACGUUAUCGCACCUGGCUCUGCUCCCCUAGGGAGCUGCCAGCCCUUGCUGCGCCCUGGCAUGGGCCCCGUCACCCAGGACUCUGGCUGUCCUGGGGGAAUUGCCUGGUCCUAGUGCGGGUCCGUCGUGGCUGAAGCAGGGUCUGGGUCAGCCCUUGUUGUUCAGCACAAAAUCAUGGUUAGUAGGUGGCUUGCUCUCUCUCGUCUGAACGUGGUCCUCAAAGGAAAAGCUCUAGUCAGCAAACAGGGCACCUCGCAGCUGGAGCGAGCAGGAGGGUUCAGAGACGUGAUGGGAGAAAGGGAUAGCCACCGCGGGCUGCUGCAGGAACUGCGCAACUGGAAGGCUAAAGGGUGCUCUGGGGCAGGGUCUGAGCCACCGUGUUUGGAGAAGGGAUGUCAAAAGGGCAGGAUGCCAAAGACCCGCCAACAUAUAAAUAAACCAAUCCUUUAUAAAACCA
rnacentral:lncRNA from 1 species